UCUGAACGCUGACGCCAAAGUAAAUAUUAUGUGUACAUUCAUGCAAAUCCUACAAGCAGCCAUCUCCUGUAUGGACACACCUCCUCCCCUCAUCCUAUAUAAUUCUGAACCCGGCCAUACCUGAUACAGGACCCGCUGACUACUACUACCCCACACAGGACUCGUCCUUUCUCUUUGUUACAACAACUGAUAAACUCUUGGUGAUCAUGGGGCCGUCCUCUGGAUUCCUGAUGGUAUUGAUUGGCGUUUCCUUCAUACUAACACAUGCUGGACCAGUCCCUGACACUAACACUGACAGUGAGUGCCCACCGGAUCAAAUAUAUUAUGAAUGUGGAAGUCCCUGUUCCAUGAUGUGUGAAAAAAUUAAACUAGGCGAAAUGUGCAUCGAUCAGUGUAAGAUUGGCUGUUUCUGUAAGCCUGGAUUCACAUUUGAGGGGAGUAACAAGACCACGUGUGUCCCCUGUAACUCAACAGGUUAAAGCGCGGACCCUCCCUCUGAGAACCUGCGAUACGGAGAAGAUUACAGGAAGCUAA